AGUGAACGCUGGCGGCAGGCCUAAUACAUGCAAGUCGAACGGCAGCACAGCAGAGCUUGCUCUGUGGGUGGCGAGUGGCGGACGGGUGAGGAAUACAUGGGAAUCUGCCCAGUCGUGGGGGAUAACGUAUGGAAACGUACGCUAAUACCGCAUGCGCCCUACGGGGGAAAGCCGGGGACCGCAAGGCCUGGCGCGAUUGGAUGAGCCCAUGUUCGAUUAGCUAGUUGGCGGGGUAAAGGCCCACCAAGGCGACGAUCGAUAGCUGGUCUGAGAGGAUGAUCAGCCACACUGGAACUGAGACACGGUCCAGACUCCUACGGGAGGCAGCAGUAGGGAAUAUUGGACAAUGGGGGCAACCCUGAUCCAGCCAUGCCGCGUGAGUGAAGAAGGCCCUCGGGUUGUAAAGCUCUUUUGUCCGGAAAGAAAGCAAUCGGUUAAUACCCGGUUGUCCUGACGGUACCGGAAGAAUAAGCACCGGCUAACUUCGUGCCAGCA
rnacentral:rRNA from 1 species